AUUGAACGCUGGCGGCAGGCUUAACACAUGCAAGUCGAGCGAGCGGCGGACGGGUGAGUAAUGUCUGGGAAACUGCCUGAUGGAGGGGGAUAACUACUGGAAACGGUAGCUAAUACCGCAUACCAUCAGAUGUGCCCAGAUGGGAUUAGCUAGUAGGUGGGGUAAUGGCUCACCUAUGCGACGAUCCCUAGCUGGUCUGAGAGGAAGACCGGCCACACUGGAACAGCGCCACGGUCCAGACUCCUACGGGCGGCAGCAGUAGGGAAUAUUGCACAAUGGGCGCCAGCCUGAUGCAGCCAUGCCGCAUGUGUGAAGAAGGCCUUCGGGUUGUAAAGCACUUUCAGCGAGGAGGCGUUACUCGCAGAAGAAGCACCGGCUAACUCCGUGCCAGCAGCCGCGGUAAUUC
rnacentral:rRNA from 1 species